rnacentral:rRNA from 1 species
UACAGAGGGUGCGAGCGUUAAUCGGAAUUACUGGGCGUAAAGCGCGCGUAGGCGGCUUUGCAAGUCGAGUGUGAAAGCCCCGGGCUUAACUUGGGAAUUGCGCUCGAAACUACUUUGCUGGAGUGUGGCAGAGGAAGGUGGAAUUCCACGUGUAGCGGUGAAAUGCGUAGAUAUCAGGAGGAACACCGGUGGCGAAGGCGGGUCUCUGGGCCGAUACUGACGCUGAGGAGCGAAAGCGUGGGGAGCGAACAGG